AAGAGAUAUGAGAGUCUCUUCAUUCAUUUUGGUUGCUUUUGUUUUGCUAGCUACUAACUUGGUGCAGCAAUUCAGUCUACAGGCUAAUGCAGCCAUGUUUGCAGAUAAGAGGCUGCAGAAAGUAGAAAGAAGACACAUAUUGCCAAGUCCACCACCUCCUCCCCAUCCAAAUAGGAUCACCCGUUAUUUUAGACCUCGUGUUUCCGGUGAGGCUGUGGCCCCAAUUUCUCCUUCACCGGCUGCAACAUGAGUGUCAAAAAAAAUAAAUAUAUAUAUAUAAUAAAUAAAUAAAUAAAAAUAUAUAUAUAUAAAUUAGAAUCUAAUAGUAAAACUUUGUCAGAACUUUUUGUUUUUGAUCCAGAAUUUAUAUCUCCAAUUUCCAAACGAUCCAGAAUUUCUCUCUUAAUAUCAGUACGUUUGCGUUAAGUAAUAAAUGAAUAAUUAAAAGGAA